rnacentral:rRNA from 1 species
UACGUAGGGUGCAGGCGUUAAUCGGAAUUACUGGGCGUAAAGCGUGCGCAGGCGGCUCCUUAAGUCAGAUGUGAAAGCCCCGGGCUUUAACCUGGGAACUGCGUUUGAAACUGGGGAGCUGGAGUGUAGAAGAGGGGGGUGGAAUUCCAGGUGUAGCAGUGAAAUGCGUAGAUAUCUGGAGGAACACCGAUGGCGAAGGCAGCCCCCUGGGCUAACACUGACGCUCAUGCACGAAAGCGUGGGGAGCAAACAGG